GAAAUUGGAAAGCUGUCCUACUGCCACUCCUCAAUAAUGGAUGGUGAAGUAUUGCAAGAAACUGCUGACAAGUGAGUUUUUAUUGCAUUCGAUUCAGAUUCCUUUACAACAAUCUUUCCUUGGUAAGUUGUGUAUAGUGGAUGAGGCAUUAGACAGAACAAGAAGUUGAGCAAUGGUGGAACCUUUCUUGGUUUCCCAAAAUUAUUUUGCUUGUGUUGGAGAUCAGUGGUUCUGAGCUUGAAGAGCAUGAGAUAGUGGGGUAUUUUCCAUUUCACCAUGCAUUGGUUAAAAUAGGCAGAGGAACAUCAUUAUUUUUCAUAAAGAAAAAGAAUGGGUAUAAUUUUACCUAGUAUCUGGAGGCUAAUUUUCUUGGCGAGCUCAGUGGUUUUCCCACUUCCUUAAGUGCUGGUGAUCUUCUUGAGGUAUUUGGAUGGGCUCUUAUAUUGUGUGAUUUCUUGUCUUAGAAAGGAAAACAUUUAUCGAUAGGGAAAAUCAUUUGUUGUUUGGUCAAUUGAACUUAUGGUGAUAAUUGCUAGAAUUCUCAGCACUCUCCAACUUAAACUGGCAACAAAAAAAUCCAGUCAAGGUGUGUAUUCAGCUAGUCACUGGCAUUCUGAUCUCAAAUAGAUAGAUGGAAUCUGUACAGUUCAAGCAGCAAAUAAAUCUAACAGUAAUUGAGGAUCAAGUUGAAGUUAUCAUGAUAAAGCAAUUACUGUAGAAGGAUCAUUGAAAUUAUCAGGUUGAUUUAAAGUGGCUAGGGGUUACCUGUCUGAAUUUUGGCUGAGGAUGAGCAAUGUUCUUUUUCAAAGAGUGCGCUAUCACCUCUGCUUGAGUUUGAAUGGUUAUAAAUGCUCUACUUACCAGCCCUAAAAACAGAAGAAGCUGAAUUGUAUCAUGCUCAGGUCCAAUGCUAGUGGUUCGCCAUUAAUGGAUUAUUGCAAGGUGACUGUUGGAAGUGGUAACAAUACCUGUGGUCUUUAUGGAAAAAGCUUAUCCUAUAUGAAUGCAAAGAUUAUCAUGGUUUGUUAACAUAAAAAUAUAAAAAACUGCAUGUCGUAAAGGUGGAUGUACAGUCGGAGCCCUGGAUAAGCAUGCUAGUUUAUAUUAGUUAUAUGUCAAUGAACUGUGUGCGAUACCAUCUGUCACUCUCAUUUCACUUCCAAUUUUACUUAGAAGUCUAUAUGCAAGUGAAUUUGUCAUGGUAGGGCCAAAUUGGAGUCAUAUCAUUUGCAAUGAGUUGGACCAGACUCUAUUGGAGCGUAUCAGUUUGAUGUUGAGUCAUAUUUGCGAUUGUUGUUGGUGAUAUAUGAAGGUGUACCAAAGUCGAAAGACUAGACAUCGGAAACAUACAUGCUCAAAACUUCUAUGUAAUUAUAGACUGCUAAUUUUGAGGAGGUGGUAAUUCCAUUGUUGUCAUUAUAACCUGCCGAUUUUUAGGAGAUGAGUAUCAGUAAUACCCUGUGGUACAGGAGGAGUUUCAAAUCUUGUCUUUCAAAGAAGUUAGUCUCAGAAACUCUUUCUACAGGA
rnacentral:lncRNA from 1 species